rnacentral:rRNA from 1 species
AGAGAGAGACAUGCGCGCAUAUCAAUAAGCGGAGGAAAAGAAACUAACAAGGAUUCCCCUAGUAACGGCGAGUGAAGCGGGAAGAGCUCAAAUUUGAAAUCAUAAAGGGUUUCCCUUUACGAAUUGUAGUUUAAAGAAGUGUUUUCUGUUGAGGUUUUGGUAAAAGUUCUUUGGAAUAGGACAUCAUAGAGGGUGAGAAUCCCGUAUUUGACCUUUACUUUCAACUUUGUGAUACACUUUCAAAGAGUCGGAUUGUUUGGGAAUGCAGUCCAAAAUGGGUGGUAAAUUUCAUCUAAAGCUAAAUAUUGGCGAGAGACCGAUAGCGAACAAGUACCGUGAGGGAAAGAUGAAAAGAACUUUGAAAAGAGAGUUAAACAGUACGUGAAAUUGUCAAAAGGGAAGCGUUUGACACCAGUGUUGUUUUUCUGAAAAUCAAUUAAAGAACUGUUUAUGCUAAGCUGUUUAGACUUUAUCAGCUAACUGUUUAGUUUUGAGCUUUUCUUUAAUGCACUUUUCAGUUAACAAGUCAACAUCAAUUUCUUUUGCUGUAAAAAAGCUUGAGGAAGGUGGCUUGAGAUUCGUCUUAAGUGUUUAUAGCCUCUUGCCUAUGCAGUCGGAGAGAUUGAGGUCUGCAGCGUAGAUCCUUCGGGGCUAAAUGCAUUUGUGCUAAGUUAUAGCAUUUUAUAGACAACUUGUUGACUAUGAUUUGUCUUGUAGCUUACUCGCUUAUGUUAUUUUACCUACGCUUAGGAUGUUGACGCAUGAGAUAUACGC